rnacentral:rRNA from 1 species
GUGGGGAAUAUUGGACAAUGGGGGGAACCCUGAUCCAGCCAUGCCGCGUGUGUGAAGAAGGCCUUUUGGUUGUAAAGCACUUUAAGCGAGGAGGAGGCUACCGAGAUUAAUACUCUUGGAUAGUGGACGUUACUCGCAGAAUAAGCACCGGCUAACUCUGUGCCAGCAGCCGCGGUAAUACAGAGGGUGCGAGCGUUAAUCGGAUUUACUGGGCGUAAAGCGCGCGUAGGUGGUUAAUUAAGUCAAAUGUGAAAUCCCCGAGCUUAACUUGGGAAUUGCAUGCGAUACUGGUUAGCUAGAGUAUGGGAGAGGAUGGUAGAAUUCCAGGUGUAGCGGUGAAAUGCGUAGAGAUCUGGAGGAAUGCCGAUGGCGAAAGCAGCCAUCUGGCCUAAUACUGACACUGAGGUGCGAAAGCAUGGGGAGCAAACAGGAUUAGAUACCCGUGUAGUCC